UACAGAGGGUGCGAGCGUUGUUCGGAAUUAUUGGGCGUAAAGCGCUUGUAGGCGGCACGUCAAGUCGCGUGUGAAAUCCCCAGGCUUAACCUGGGAAGUGCGCGCGAAACUGACGAGCUUGAGUGCCGGAGAGGGUCGCGGAAUUCCCGGUGUAGUGGUGAAAUGCGUAGAUAUCGGGAGGAACACCAGUGGCGAAGGCGACUUCCUGGCCUGUUCUUGACGCUGAGGCGCGAAAGCUAGGGUAGCGAACAGG
rnacentral:rRNA from 1 species